rnacentral:tRNA from 1 species
GUGGGUAUAGCUCAAGUGGUGGAGUGCAUGCUUAGCAUGCACAAGGUCCUGGGUUCAACCCCCAGUACUUCCU